CUGCACCUGUGUAAGUGCCGCAGAACAGUAUGGGCACUAUGAUUGGCUGUCACUGCUAGCGCUGUACGGGGGAACAUCUAAGCGAUGUGCACAGAAGUACUCACUGGGACCCGGCGCCUCCUCCUUGUGCUUGAUGUUGCUGCCACUGGCGCGUCCAGAUCCCGGUCUCCACACAGGCCCAGCUUCAGUUUGAGUGACAGUAGAUCGCAUCUGCUGGCUGUGCGCGGCCGCAGCGCUCCGCGUCAUCCUCACUGUCCGUCUCCGCUUCAAGGCAGUAGGGAGGACAGUGCACUUUAUAACCGCAGCGGCACAUGCAUCCACCGAAGAGGAGCAGGAAGAGGUGACCCGGGCGGGAGCAAGCACACAGCACGGGCUGCGGCUCAACAGCAAGCACCACCAUCCACAGCAGUGCAGACAGCCUCCCCAUGCCAGAGACAGCCUCAGCAUGUACAGCAGCUCCGCAGACAUAGACUUCCGUACAGCAAGUAUGCACUGCGAUUGCAGAGUACGUUGUAUAUAAUGCUGAAGUAGCCAAACACUGCAGUCGCAAAGGAAGGAAUCCAGAAUUAAACCAUCCUAAUGCAUAUUAUUUUAAGGAUGCAAAUAAUUGGAUUCACCCACACAUCGUAUACAAGAUAAGAAGCCCCACAUAGCUUCACCCAGAGCCGGAUUAACAAUGGGGCGGAUGAAGGUCCGGCUCCAGGCCCCCCCAUCAGAAUAGACCCACUGCAUCUACUGUGCUGCUGCUGUAGGCAGAAAAAAAUGUUUUCCUGCUACAGCAGCCUGCAAUGGCCACCCCCGAGGUCUCCCCGUCCUCCGUCAGCGGCCGUAAGCCCGUAGCAAACCCCACCUCUCUUGUGACACCAGCGGUACAAAGUCUACAAACCCCACCGCGGCGCAGACAAGAACUUUAUACACAUGACGGCACAGCAGAAGGCUUCACUAGACCUCUAUGCGCUGCACACGCAAUGACGCAGCACCUUCUCCAAGCCGCGUGACAUCGCAAAGUACCGUCCCACCACCAUCAGGAUGGAAGCAUUGGCAGCAUUUACAGCAAGGUGCUCCGUGAAGGUGGCCCGGGUCUCUUAGGCUGACUGAUCAUCCUGAGUUAAGAGGACUUCAUCAAGGGACUAAGACGAAACGCGUUGGGUCAGGGACUUGCUGCUCACCCAGAACUUCCCAUAGCGGACAGAUAAGCCGUUUUUAUAUUUUUAUCUUAUGGCUUCCAGACCAUGUGAUCUUCUACACGAAUAGUGAAUACUGACUCAAGACACUGCCUGUGACGGAAGAAUCAAUAUCUUGAGAGGUUCCCCAUUACAGAGAAAUCAUAAAGCAUUAAGUGGUGGUGACGGAAACAAAGACACUAAGUAAAUACAACCCUCUUGUAGACGAUUAGAAUUGGACUAUUUGUCUACUGGCAUAGACUCCUCCAAACUAUCCUGGCUUACCUCGCAAAAAGAGUUGAAUUCAAGACUCAGACUUCUAUUUGCAGCUCAUUCUCAAUACGCACUGGCUGACGGGCUAGAAAGCUACCUUGCGCAUGGAGCCAAGGAUGGACACUCUAUAUUGCAGUAGUGGAAGUUGUUGGUGAAAAAGGUGAAGUCCACAGGAGGACCCCAGAUAUCGCUGGGGUGUUUGCCUCUUUUUUAUCAGACCCUUUAUACUUCCAAAUUGUCAUGCAGCAUAGAGGAUUCCCUAUUCCCCUUCCAACCUUGCCUCCUGAGGCUAAGAAACUGUUCCCAAUUACAUUGGGGGAAGUAGAUGUGGGACUUUGCUCCUUCCCUGGAAAACAGGCCCUAGGUUCGGAUGGUGUACCUUUUGAGCUGUACAACAAACAUGCUCACUUUUAUUUGCCCUGUCUGUUGGAACUGUAUAAACAACUUUUUCGAAAUGCCAUUCUCCCACAGUCUAUGUUGGAGGCUCUUAUUGUUGGUUUGCAUAAACCAGAGGAUCCGAAAAAAUUCCUGAAUCCUAUCACUCUAUUUCCUCACCAUGGAUGUUAAAAAUUUGACCAAAAUACCAGCAACUGGGCUCAAUCAGGUGAUAUUGUUUAUUAUUCAUCCGGAUCAGACCGGGUUAAUGCUGGGUAAAUGCCAGGUCCACUGUUGCAUGAAUUUGCUGAUCCCAUCAUUCAUUUGAAUGUCAUACACAUUGGAAUCUCACUGAAUAGUUGAUCUACGAGGUAUGUGAUGUUCUUUUUUGAUAUACGAAUCAUGUAUUAGUUCUUAAUACAUAUGAUCACAAUAUAAAUUAAAAGUUAACUAUACUCUAACUAGGCUGGAUUGAUGUUGCCACAAUACGCCUUAGUGACGCUUUGAAUUCUCCUUUUGAGCAAUUCUGGUUAACCAUCUAGGCUCAUUCUAUUUGAUUGGCAUUGUCAUCCAAGGUAUGUCCAUGACCAAUUAUGUCACCUAUGGAUUUAAACUGUCGUUUCUCUAUAUCCAUAAUUAUGUUGAUUGUUUAAUGAUUAUUCCUUGUUCCGUUGUAUCAUGUCUUGCAUAUUCCUGUUUUUUGUUCUUUUGACUGUUCUUUUCUUUAUUUUAACCUUUAUUAUUUUAUUGUUUGUAAAAUUGUAAUAUAUUGAAAAGUUGUCCCAUAAC